CAACACAAACAACUUCUCAAGUACGCACACACGCAAGCAAAAACAUAAAGUUAAAAAGAGCUUGCGGUGAUGGACAAGAAAAAGUCAGUAUCUGGUUCCUCUUCAUCUUCUUCAUCUUUGGAUCAUCUUUUCGGUCCAAGAGUCUCUCCUUCGUCUUCUUCAUCAUCAACAACAGGAUUGUUCAAUUCUAUUUUCCCACCAACCUCAACGGAGACGCAAGCAAACUUGGCAAGUCGAAAUGGAGCUGCCAAAUAUCCACCUACAAAUUUGGGGAUUCCAAAUGAGAGAGGAGAAAGGAGCAAAAAUAAGGAGAGAAAGAGUUACCAAAAUGAAGAAACACAACCACCAUGCAACUUGAGCUCAUCCAUAUACUAUGGAGGCCAAGAUAACUAUUCCUAUUCAACUACCAACCCUGAUGCUUAUAAGAAAGAUGGAGAGGAAGGCGAUUCUGAAAGUGCUCCAAGAGGAAACUGGUGGGAUGGAUCGCUUUAUUACUAAUUAGCAAACCCUAGCUGAUGAAGCACGAUCGAUAACGGCGUAAGUGGUAACUGGGACCUUAAUUAAGUGAAUAUGGAAGUUGACGUAUCCAAAUAUAUUAUAUCUACAAAUGUAAACUAAAAAACUUGUGAAAGUAUAUAUUAAGGAUCAAUCAUAAUCACUGAUUGAUACUCAUUUAUAUUACGUAUCUUCCCUUUAUGUAAAGUGUAUAAUGUAAUUACUUUCUCUCUAAGACCCUAGCUAGAUCUCUACUUGUAUAUAACUCG